GCUCAUCCCCAUGAGAACAAUUUUAAAAAACCAGACGGUGGCUGCUGCCCAGGCCUUAUUUGUAAAUUUCAUAGUAGAAAAACCCUCGUUUUUCAGUUUCUGACUGUGGAGUCCCUCCCUCGCUCAGCCCAUGGCCGACUGAGGAAAUGAGACUCCGCCAGUGAGAGCGAGCUUCGCGAAUGAGACACAGAGAGAGAAAAGAGUUCAGCCCAUAAAUCUCUCUCUACUGUAUAUUGAAUCUAUCUCAUUUUCUUAGAGAGAGAGAGGGCAUGGCGCAGUGGCGCAUAAUUCCUCGGCCUCUGUUGGAGACGGUCCUGAACAACUACGGUCGGUCCCCUAAAGUUCCUCAGCCCCUCAUCUUCCAUGGUCCCAGAGGCGCCGGCAAGACCACAAUCCUCCACAGGCUACUUGACAACUGGUGCAAGCCCCCCCAUGCCACUGCAUACCUCGACCUCCAUUCUCUUCACAGCAAUAACAAUCAUCCCCGACAACAACCACCACCCCAAUGGCACCACUCGCCCCCUACAAUAUCCCUAACCUCCCUUCGCAUCCACCUUGAACAAUCUCUCGAAGCCCUAACUCUAAAAGCCAUCCGACUCGGCUCCAUCAGCUCCUCCCAAGUGUACACCACCCUCCUCAAAUGGCAUGGCAUAGACUCAGCCCUUCGCCAAAUUCUCAACCAAUAUACUAACCAUGCGCUACCUCGUGCACACACAGCUGACCUCUGGCGCCUGGUCAUCAGUACUUUGCACAAAGGCAACCAAUCCUUAGAAACCGAGCGUCGAGCCCGCUUAGCUGAGCUCAGGGACUGGUUUGAUGUUCUGAGCCCCGAUAGCUCGGUUUAUGUGCACCCCAAGGGUGGUGGGUUUGGGCUCGAUGUAAAGAACAAGGACGAGGAGGCCUGCUUUGAGGAAGCGCUUCUGGCCUUGCGAUUGGCCAAAGAAGUGUUGUGUAGGAAAGAGAAGUGGAGGGAGGGGGCGAUCAGGGAGCUCAAUCGCAAUGGUGGGUUCUCGAGAUCGCUCACCAAUGCGGCCACAGAUUGGCCCUCACUAUUGCUUGAGUUGCUUUCGGCCUCAUCAGAGCUUGGAUUCUUCCAGCCCAAACUAAUCAUAAACAACAUUGACAUUCUUCGCAAGGCAGUCUUGACAGACAAUUCAAUGGUCAAUGCCUCUAUGUAUCAUGACAGCUUUCUGUGGAGGUUAGUUUCUCUGGGUGUGAAUGAGAGGUGCUUACCUGUGAUACUAUCAACCUCGGACAGCUACUAUUCAUAUCACAUCUAUCGAGAUUUUGCAUUUCCAGAUGUUUUCAUCUCUCGUGAGAACUAUGGAUGGACGGUUCAAGAAGCUAAGAUGCAUAUGGUUGAUGAUUUCUUUAGUGAGGAGGAGUGGACUAUUGUCGCUGAUGUGUUGGGGCCAAACCCUCGACAUCUUUCCGAGUUGUAUUCAAUCAUGCAGACCGAGGAAUAUGAAAGGAUAGAGGAGAAUGAUUUGGAAAAUUCUUUUGAAGACGUUGUGGAUGCAUAUCUGGCUCAUUUACAAGUGACUGUCGUUAAUCCUGCCAUGGAAGCGGCGCUCAUUAUUCUUCAAAAUUUUGCUUUUGAUGCUUCCAAUGGAAAAAUAUCGGAGGAUAGAUUGCGCUUUGGAGCUCCCUGGAGACACCCACCUCAUUCCAACAGCAAGAGGAGUUCUCUGUUCUGGGCAAAGCUUCAGUUAAUGGAUUUUAUUCAGUCGCUGGUGAAUACUGGAUUUGGGGUAUGCAAUUUUAUUGAUCACAUUCAAAUUAACAAGCAGUUGGAAUUGUUUGGCCACAUGUCUUACUCAGCACUAUGCACAUUUUUAGACUUCAGUAACCAUGUUUUCUGAAUGUAAGCUCGGGAAAAGAAGCUCUCAAGUAAAUAACACGAAUCACCAUACAUUUCGAUUGAUCAUCAAGUUCCAACAUGCUUCACACUUCUAGUUAUAAGAGAGAAUUGCAGAAGUAACUAUUGCAGAUUUAGUAAAAUGGGGAACCUGGAAAUGUGUCUGUUGCUGGUUGGCUCUUCGGAUUUGCCAUCUUGGAACUAGCAUCCACCAUUUGAAGCUUGAUAUCAAUGCCUUAUCUUUCUGUGAACUAUUUUGCUGAUUGUAGCCUUGAAAUAUUGGAUGAUCCUUGCACAAACGCCAUGCUGGAGGUCGGUUUGUUAUAUAUGCAACGAG